AACGCGAAGAACCUUACCUGGGCUCGAAAUGGAGUGGACCGGGGUGGAAACAUCCCUUUUCGCAAGAACUGCUCUAUAGGUGCUGCAUGGCUGUCGUCAGCUCGUGUCGUGAGAUGUUGGGUUAAGUCCCGCAACGAGCGCAACCCUUAUCGUUAGUUGCCAGCGGGUUAUGCCGGGCACUCUAGCGAAACCGCCUCGGAUAACGGGGAGGAAGGUGGGGAUGACGUCAAGUCCUCAUGGCCUUUAUGUCCAGGGCUACACACGUGCUACAAUGGUCGGUACAAACCGUCGCAAACCCGCAAGGGGGAGCUAAUCGGAAAAAGCCGACCUCAGUUCGGAUUGGAGUCUGCAACUCGACUCCAUGAAGCUGGAAUCGCUAGUAAUCGCAGAUCAGAACGCUGCGGUGAAUACGUUCCCGGGCCUUGUACACACCGGUACUA
rnacentral:rRNA from 1 species